CAGUCGCCGCGGUAAUACGGAGGGUGCAAGCGUUAAUCGGAAUUACUGGGCGUAAAGCGCACGCAGGCGGUUUGUUAAGUCAGAUGUGAAAUCCCCGAGCUUGACUUGGGAACUGCAUUUGAAACUGGCAAGCUAGAGUCUUGUAGAGGGGGGUAGAAUUCCAGGUGUAGCGGUGAAAUGCGUAGAGAUCUGGAGGAAUACCGGUGGCGAAGGCGGCCCCCUGGACAAAGACUGACGCUCAGGUGCGAAAGCGUGGGGAGCAAACAGGAUUAGAUACCCCGGUAGUCCCUGUCUCUUAUAC
rnacentral:rRNA from 1 species